UACGUAGGGGGCCAGCGUUGUUCGGAAUUACUGGGUGUAAAGGGUUCGUAGGCGGUGCGGCAAGUUGGGAGUGAAAUCUCUGGGCUCAACCCAGAGACGGCUUCCAAAACUGCUGUGCUUGAGUGUGGGAGAGGCUCGUGGAAUUGCAGGUGUAGCGGUGAAAUGCGUAGAUAUCUGCAGGAACACCCGUGGCGAAAGCGGCGAGCUGGACCGCUACUGACGCUGAAGAACGAAAGCUAGGGGAGCAAACAGG
rnacentral:rRNA from 1 species